AACGAACGCUGGCGGCAUGCCUAACACAUGCAAGUCGAACGAGACCUUCGGGUCUAGUUGCGCACGGGUGCGUAACGCGUGGGAACCUGCCCUUAGGUUCGGAAUAACUCCCCGAAAGGGGUGCUAAUGCCGGAUAAUGUCUUCGGACCAAAGAUUUAUCGCCUUUGGAUGGGCCCGCGUUGGAUUAGCUAGUUGGUAGGGUAAAAGCCUACCAAGGCGACGAUCCAUAGCUGGUCUGAGAGGAUGAGCAGCCACACUGGGACUGAGACACGGCCCAGACUCCUACGGGAGGCAGCAGUGGGGAAUAUUGGAAAAUGGGCGAAAGCCUGAUCCAGCAAUGCCGCGUGAGUGAUGAAGGCCUUAGGGUUGUAAAGCUCUUUUACCCGGGAUGAUAAUGACGGUACCGGGAGAAUAAGCUCCGGCUAACUCCGUG
rnacentral:rRNA from 1 species